GUGGGGAAUAUUGCACAAUGGGCGAAAGCCUGAUGCAGCAACGCCGCGUGAAGGAAGACGGUUUUCGGAUUGUAAACUUCUAUCAAUAGGGAAGAAAGAAAUGACGGUACCUAAAUAAGAAGCCCCGGCUAACUACGUGCCAGCAGCCGCGGUAAUACGUAGGGGGCAAGCGUUAUCCGGAAUUACUGGGUGUAAAGGGAGAGUAGGCGGCAAGGUAAGCGAUAUGUGAAAGCCUUAGGCUUAACCAAAGGAUUGCAUAACGAACUAUCUAGCUAGAGUACAGGAGAGGAAAGCGGAAUUCCUAGUGUAGCGGUGAAAUGCGUAGAUAUUAGGAAGAACACCAGUGGCGAAGGCGGCUUUCUGGACUGAAACUGACGCUGAGGCUCGAAAGCGUGGGGAGCGAACAGGA
rnacentral:rRNA from 1 species